rnacentral:rRNA from 1 species
GAUGAACGCUGGCGGCGUGCUUAACACAUGCAAGUCGAACGAAACACCUUAUUUGAUUUUCUUCGGAACUGAAGAUUUGGUGAUUGAGUGGCGGACGGGUGAGUAACGCGUGGGUAACCUGCCCUGUACAGGGGGAUAACAGUCAGAAAUGACUGCUAAUACCGCAUAAGACCACAGCACCGCAUGGUGCAGGGGUAAAAACUCCGGUGGUACAGGAUGGACCCGCGUCUGAUUAGCUGGUUGGUGAGGUAACGGCUCACCAAGGCGACGAUCAGUAGCCGGCUUGAGAGAGUGAACGGCCACAUUGGGACUGAGACGCGGCCCAAACUCCUACGGGAGGCAGCAGUGGGGAAUAUUGCACAAUGGGGGAAACCCUGAUGCAGCGACGCCGCGUGAGUGAAGAAGUAUUUCGGUAUGUAAAGCUCUAUCAGCAGGGAAGAAAAUGACGGUACCUGACGAAGAAGCCCCGGCUAACUACGUG